UACGUAGGUGGCAAGCGUUGUCCGGAUUUACUGGGCGUAAAGGGCGUGCAGGCGGUUUGUUAAGUGCAGAGUGAAAGCUCCCGGCUCAACUGGGAGAGGUCUUUGCAUACUGGCAAACUCGAGGGAGGCAGAGGAAAGUGGAAUUCCCGGUGUAGUGGUGAUAUGCGUAGAUAUCGGGAGGAACACCUGUGGCGAAGGCGGCUUUCUGGGCCUUACCUGACGCUGAGACGCGAAAGCGUGGGGAGCAAACCGG
rnacentral:rRNA from 1 species